rnacentral:rRNA from 1 species
CUUGCUGCUUCGCUGACGAGUGGCGGACGGGUGAGUAAUGUCUGGGAAACUGCCUGAUGGAGGGGGAUAACUACUGGAAACGGAAGCUAAUACCGCAUAACGUCGCAAGACCAAAGAGGGGGACCUUCGGGCCUCUUGCCAUCGGAUGUGCCCAGAUGGGAUUAGCUAGUACGUGGGGUAACGGCUCACCUAGGCGACGAUCCCUAGCUGGUCUGAGAGGAUGACCAGCCACACUGGAACUGAGACACGGUCCAGACUCCUACGGGAGGCAGCAGUGGGGAAUAUUGCACAAUGGGCGCAAGCCUGAUGCAGCCAUGCCGCGUGUAUGAAGAAGGCCUUCAGGUUGUAAAGUACUUUCAGCGGGGAGGAAGGGAGUAUAGUUAAUAUCUUUGCUCAUUGACGUUACCCGCAGAAAAAGCAUCGGUUAACUCCGUGCCAGCAGACGCGGUAAUACGGAGGGUGCAAGCGUUAAUCGGAAUUACUGGGAGUAAAGUGUACGGAGGUGGUUUGUUAAGUUAGAUGUGAAAUGAGCGGGGUUAAUCUGGGAAGUGUAUUUGAUAGUGGUAAGGUUGAGUUUUGUAGAGG